AUUGAACGCUGGCGGCAGGCCUAACACAUGCAAGUCGAGCGGGGUUUUCGGACCUAGCGGCGGACGGGUGAGUAAUGCGUAGGAAGCUGCCCGAUAGAGGGGGAUACCAGUUGGAAACGACUGUUAAUACCGCAUAAUGUCUACGGACCAAAGUGUGGGACCUUCGGGCCACAUGCUAUCGGAUGCGCCUACGUGGGAUUAGCUAGUUGGUGAGGUAAUGGCUCACCAAGGCGACGAUCUCUAGCUGGUUUGAGAGGAUGAUCAGCCACACUGGAACUGAGACACGGUCCAGACUCCUACGGGAGGCAGCAGUGGGGAAUAUUGGGACAAAUGGGCGCAAGCCUGAUUCAGCCAUGCCGCGUGUGUGAAGAAGGCCUCGGUUGUAAGUACACUUACGUACGACGAGGAGGGAAGGGUAGGGUGGUGUUAAGUU
rnacentral:rRNA from 1 species